rnacentral:rRNA from 1 species
CCUACGGGGGUCAGCAGUGGGGAAUAUUGGACAAUGGGGGGAACCCUGAUCCAGCCAUGCCGCGUGUGUGAAGAAGGCCCUCGGGUUGUAAAGCACUUUCAGUGAGGAAGAACGCCUGGUGGUUAAUACCCAUCAGGAAAGACAUCACUCACAGAAGAAGCACCGGCUAACUCCGUGACAGCAGCCGCGGUAAUACGGAGGGUGCGAGCGUUAAUCGGAAUUACUGGGCGUAAAGCGCGCGUAGGUGGCUUGAUAAGCCGGUUGUGAAAGCCCCGGGCUCAACCUGGGAACGGCAUCCGGAACUGUCAAGCUAGAGUGCAGGAGAGGAAGGUAGAAUUCCCGGUGUAGCGGUGAAAUGCGUAGAGAUCGGGAGGAAUACCAGUGGCGAAGGCGGCCUUCUGGACUGACACUGACACUGAGGUGCGAAAGCGUGGGUAGCAAACAGGAUUAGAUACCCCUGUAGUC